rnacentral:lncRNA from 1 species
CACGUCCUAAGUCUAACCCAUUUAUUAACAAACAGAUUAAAGUUAUUAAAAAUAAAAUAAUCCCAGAAAAAUAAUUAAAAUGGCCUUAUUACAACCGAAAACCAAACAAUAAUAUUAAUAAGAUAAAACUUAUAAAGAAAUAAAUCGGCUACUUAUUGCAAUUAAAAGAAACAGAAACAGUAUUGUGGCCAUCUUCGAGUCCCUCGCAGCUCCAAACCAUCUAAGCUUAGGGAUUACCUGCACAAUUAGAAACGGGGUGAGUUUACGAAAACUCAGUGUGUAAUCCCAAUAACAAACAAACAGUGAAAACACAGUAUCAGUACAAUUUGGGUCAAAGCCCUAUUUAGUCUUGACAUAUACAUGGCCGAAGCCUUUCGUUUAACGAUUACUGGGCCGAAGCCUAUUCUCGGCCCAAAUGGCCCCGCACGCUCGUGUGGGCUUUUAGCCCAAAUCUAGCCACAAAUAUGAGAUUCACCUAGCCUAGUCCAAUAUUUACUACACAAUCAAACAACUUAUCCAAUUGGGCCCGUAACCCAUUGGGCCCACAUGGCCCCUUUCGGCCCGAAGUAGCCAUCCUACAGCUAGAGUAGUGAGAAAUACACACCUGAUAGGAGACUAGAGUUAAUCCACGCUCCAAGCACUCUUAGCCGACGCCCAACCCAACGAGCACGCCAUACAGCAAAAGGGAUCAGCCAAGAAAGG